rnacentral:lncRNA from 1 species
UGGUAACUACGGUUCAUAGCAUCGUCGAACAAUUGAAAGCAAAGUGCCUAAGCAUGCCAACACAUGCCGACAAUAUUACUUCCAAAAUGCCUCAGCUAUGUGAGAUUGAUCGCAUAACCCAAUACACGAGGCAACCCUCGGAUCGGAUUGUCGAUUAUAUCUCUACCUAUUCAUAAGUUCACUCAGCCCGGGUAUAGGACUUUUGAUAUUCUCACCCCACACGUCAAAUGAAAAAUAAACAAGUAUUCACAUAUGUAAGCAAUAAAACAAAGCGUGAAUAUAAACUAAGGAAAACUAGGCGUGACCCGCUAAAAAAAAAAAAUGUCCCCAGUGAAGUCGCCAUUUCUGUUAUCGCGAUUUUCGGGUGUCAAGUCAUUAAUUAGGCUUGAACCUUUCAAUCUUUGAUAUUCUCUAUUUUUUCUUGGGAAGGGAAAAAUUGAGAAAAAACCCUUAGAUUCUAAGUUCGGGGGUCGCUUUCGCUACGGGAAGGUGUUAGGCACCCGGAACGAUUAUGGUAUUCCAUAAGAACCGUUCUCCUAAGUCUAUUUCUACGCUUUAUGUUUUAUUGCCUACUUAAAAAAAGAAGUUUUAUUUGAGUGAAGAAUAGGGGAGAGAAGAUGAUUGAGAUUUUAUUUUUAUUUGGCUUGGAGGAGUUUUAACUCAUUGCCUACGUACCCUUUUAAGGGAUCAAAACCAAACGUAGUUCGUUCUCGAAAAUUGUUUUUGUUUUUGUUGGUUGAUUUUAAGUUUGAAAAGAAAAGAGGAAUUUUGAAGAAUGGAGGUGAGAGGCCUCAAGGGCAUGAGAUUUGGAAAAAGUGAGGUGGAAGUAGUUAUUUUGCAAAAUAAAGUCUAAGCAUGAUUAAAAUUUAUUAAAAAUUUUUUACUUAAGAAAACAAAAGGAGAAUGAGGAGUUUUGACUCCUAUUUUAGAAAAAAAAGUUUUCAAGUGAGGUUAUUCACAUUUUUUGAAAAAAUGAUUUUUUGGUCUAAGCGUUGUAAAACCUAGGCAUACAUCUAAACAUACAUUCCCUAAUCAUGCAUCUAGAACAUCCAUGUGGGGUGUGUGCAUGUGUCGGUGCUCGUGUCGGUGUACAUCACUUAUAGUGUCCAUAGUCAUUUACAUUGUCCUAGUUACAUUCUAUGGUCUUGCAAAAAAUUAAAAGAUGAAUUUAAACUAGCCUAAAAUAUUACAUAACCAUUAGAAAUACAAGAGAGAAAAAUUGCAAAAAAAAAUAAAACCUAAUCUAAUAGGAAAGAUGAUGUAGUAAAAUGCUAUGAGAUGAGUGAAGAAUAAGUCAACAAAUGUUAGCAAAACAAGAUAAGAACAAUGCCAUGACUGAUAAAACAAUCAAUUGAACAUGAAAUGAAAUGGUAAAGAAAUGAUGGAAAUAAUGAGAAUGAAAGUUGCUUAAAAUGCAAGAAACACCUAAACCAUACCCAAACAGCAACACAAUCAUAAAAUCAGUAUCAUAUAUACCAUAGAAUUACAUACUAAUUGUUCAUGAUUCAUAUCUAAACUUAUGAAGAGCAAACAUGGCAAGAAAAUCACAAUAUUAGCCUAAAAGAGACAAAUUAACCAAGAAAAAUAACACCUACAUUUUUUAUCAUUUUUAAACCAUUGAAAAACAUCACAAAAUGGUUAAAAUGUAUCAAGAAAUAUAUGACAAUUUUUUAGGAAUUUUUUAGAAAAAAAAUUAGGCACACAGAGGUUCAAUUAGCAGAAAAAUAGGGUGUAGGUAGCAAGCAAAAGCAAGAAACGUGCAGAAAAUUAAGCCCAAACCCAAAGCCCAAACACAAAAAAAACCAGAUUACACAGGAGGCGUUGGAUUGAUCCAGGGAGGGAAACCCUAGAUCCAACGGCCAGGAACAAAGGGGGUUGGACCGAUCUUGAACCGGUCCGGUUCACUGGCUUUAAAAGGGGGGAACUCCGGUUUUUUUUUUUAUUUCUUCCUCUCCUUCUCUCUCUUCUCUCACUCUAGUGAGAGAAGCUCUCACUUCUCUCUUCCCUCAUCCGCGCCGGUUUCUGGAAAUGGAGGAAGAUCUUCAUCUUCUCCGGUGAGGCUUGUUCCUCCGGCGCGGUGGCCGGCCACCCAAGGGUGGCGGCGCCGCCGCCGGAGUUGAGCAAACUUCUCCGCUUUCGAAAAUUCUUACAUUUUUAGAUAUCCUUUUUUGUCCUGAACACGAAUAUGGCACUAGAUUUUGCAUGCAAAGUGCGAAUCAACGUAGAUCUUGAGAUCUUUCCUUGCGGUUUUCGAAAUUUUUUUAGUUUUUUUUUAGUUCUUUUUGAAUGAAAGCUUUUGGAACUUCAUAGAUCUACAUUGGAUUCGUCUUUGUUGACGUUCUUGAACAAAAAGAUGAAGUUUGAGUUUUACCUGUGAUUUUUGGUUGGAGAUUUCGAAUGAGAUCUUCGGAAAACUUGAAUAUUGGUGCGGUUUUGAUUUUCUGGCUUGGAUCCGAAAAUAAAUCGGUUCUUCUCUUCUUCUUCUUUACCGGUCCGAAUCCGCUUCUUUCCCUCUUCUUCUCAAACUUUCGGAUCCUUCGUGAUCGUGCUUGGAUUCGUUGCUAAAGGCGACGGAUCCGCACUGGAAUUGUGAAGGAUUCGGUUCGAUGAUGAUGAUUCUUUGAUGAAUCACUGAGAACUGUGAUGAAUUUGAGUUAUGGAUAAUUUUUUAGGGUUUUUUGUUCUUGGUGAUUUUUUCUGUUUUGAUCUAACAGAAACGAGAGAGAAAAUCUGGAUCUGUUUGUGUUGAUGUGUCACUGACUUUUUGACUGUGCAUUGAAUGCGCCUUUUAUAGGGUGCCACUUGUAUUUGAGACCCAAUGGGACACUGCCACCUGGAAUUGGACCUUGCUGCAAAAAGAAAAAAUAAAAGGACUAAUCUGCAAUAAAAAAAAAAACUAAAAAAAAAAAUGCGAUUAAAAAAAGUAUUGGACAAAAAUGCAAUUUUGGGACCCUUUUGGGGGACCGAAAUGUAAAUAAAUAAAAAAUAAAAUGAAUUAAAAUUGGUAAUUGGUAAAAAGGUAAAGUGAAACGAAAAAUAAAAUCAACAAACGGACUAAAACGAACAAAUUACCGACAUGAGGUAUUUUAAAAUACCUCCCUGUCGGAAUUUUGACAGGAAAAGACCAAAAUGCCCCUAGGGACUAAACUGACCCAAACUGACUCAAAUGCAAUUUUGAAAUGAUUUUUUUUUUAACAAAGACUCAACGAUGAUUUGUACAGACAAAUUGAAAAGACUCAGAGGCAAACACAGGGACUAAAAUGGGUUCCACUGCAGGAAAUGACCAAAAUACCCUUUUGUAUGAUUUUUGAAAUAAAAUGCAAAAAAAGUAACGCGACGUUUCAGAGAGUUCUUAAAUGACUUGGAAUGUCAGAAAAGACAGAGGCAGUAAAAUUCGUUUAAAAAGAGAGUAAGGAUUCAGAGUAAAAUAACAGAGAAUUGACAAAUAUCAGUUGUUAAAAAAGAAAUUUGAACGAGUAUUUUUAGGUCCAAAAUCAGGGUAUAACAAUGGGCAAGGAGGGUUCGGAUUAUAUUAUUGAUUAUACGAAUUUCUCUUUCGACUUUUCCAUUUUGAGGGGAGGUAUGAGGACAAGAGAAUCGAAAAGACAUUCCAUUUUGUUCACAAAACCUAUGCAAAAGAGCAUUAUCGUAUUCCUUGCCAUUAUCACAUUGAAAACAUUUUAUUUCACGUUCAAAUUGUGUUUUAAUGUGAGCACGGAAUUGUAAAAAAAUGGAAUGUACUUGUGAUUAGUAUGAGAUUGGAAAAGUCCACAAAAAAUUAGUAAAAUCAUCAAGAAAUAACACAUAAUAACGAUGCCCUCCGGAGCUUAAUACCGGUGAAGUCCAAAGAUCGCUAUGAACAAUGUCAAAAGGCAUACAAGUAAAUGACAAUGAAUUAUAAAAAGGUAAUUUUAGUUGUUUCCCAAGUGGACAAUAGUGACAAAAGAAAUCAUUUCGAAACUUAUUACACAACAAAAGUUUGUUUCGAUGAAGAGAAUUUAAGAUAGGAGCUCCUGGAUGUCCUAAACGACUAUGCCAUAACUCAUUAGAUGAAGCAUCAAAGGUGGUAGCGUUGUUGUGUUUGGUCUUGUGGGAAUAGGGUAAAGGUCGCCAUAACUAUUGCAUCUCAUUAAAAGUGUUCCUGUUUGGAAAUCCUUCACAGAAAAACCAAGAUAAUCAAAUUCAACAUAAACGUCAUUAUCGAUUGUAAAUUUUCUGACAAAAACAAGGAUUUUGAUAAGUUUCGGUGCAUGCAAAACAUUGUUUAAGGUUAGAGAAUUGGGGAAAGAUGCAUUACCAAAACCAAUUAUAGGAAUAUAAUCACUACUUCUAACAGUAAUAUUAUAAGAUGUGAGAUUACCUCCAUUGUCCGUCAUAUGAGAAGUCGCCUCGCUCUCCAUAUACCAUUGUCAUCGGUAGGAGAGAUGGAGAUCGUAUGCAUAGCAGCUUGGAUGUCAGUUGGAGCAUAAUAAGAUGAGCCUUGUUGACUGUUCAUAUGAGGUGGAGCAGUAGCCAUGUGAGCUUGCUGAGGUUUAGGACCUAGUAUGCCUGUUUGUUGAUGGGGAGCACCGGUUGUCGGAUAUGGAUACUGAGGCUACUGAGAGGAAAAUUGAGGCCCCUGAUGUUGUUGAGGCUGGGAACGACCUCCACCACGACUAUUUUUUCUACCCCUUCCACGGCCACCACGACCAUUGUUUCGGCCUCCGACCAAUACCAAUGUUGUUGUUGUUGCAUUGGUUGCGUUGCUGAUGGAAUUUGCUGCUUUCUAUGCUUUGGCCGUUUCUUCCAGGAUAAUCAUAGAACGAGCUUUGUAAAAAGGUGGAAGAGAGUCUCUAUGACGAAUUUGUGAACCCAUCGUAGCGUACGCAUCUGUUAGGCCAGAGAUAAGUUGAAGAACAAGCCUUUCGUUAGAUACGGGAGCACCAACAUUAGAUAGUUGAUCAGACAGGGAUUUGAGAUGUUGACAAUAGGUGGAUGCAUCAGGAAAUUGUUCCAUAUGGACAUUAGAAAAUUCUUGCUCUAGGUAGAGUGCUCGAGAAUUUUUAUUGUCAUAGAAAAUGUUGAAUAAUCUGUUCCACGCAUUUUCUGCGGUUGAAUGCUCAAUGAUGGUGUGAAGAAGGUCAUCAGAAAUGGUGCCAUAAAUCCAUUGAAGGACAACAACAUCAAGACGUGCCCAUAUAUUUGGAUCGGUGUCUUUGAGAUUAGGAGAUGAUGUGGUUUCGGAUGGGAUGAUAUGAUCAAUGACUUGAUGAACACGGGCAUGGAUUUUGAAGAAUUCAGACCAAGUGUUAUAUUGACCCUUUUCAAUACUUAGGGUAAUUUUGAUAAAAUUGGUGAUGUUAGAGAUGAUGAAUGCGGGAUGAAUGGGAAGAUUGGUAUUCCGCGUGGUUACAAAGUUUUUGGGAGAGGAGGAGGGAGAUGAUUGUGCGGCAGACAUGAUGAGAGAAAGAAAGCUGAUGAGAGAAGCGUGGGUGAGAUGAGAGAAAGAAGAAGGUAGUGCAGCCGUUUAUGUGAGGAGAGCGGCGACACAAUUAGGGUUUAGGAUCAGUACCUAUGCUUACUAAUACCAUAUUGAAAUGAUAGGCCUUGUCUUUCUAUUUAUUUUCAAUGAUACAUAUACAAUGUCAGUUUCUCUGUAUAUUUGCAAUACAAUCAUGAAUAUUUAAUGAAACUUAUAUUCUAAUAAUAACAAUAAUAUUCUAAUAAUGACAUUGAUAUUCUAAUAAUGAUGAUACCACAUAUUUAAGGAGAAUGUAUUGUAAUGUAACACUUUGUUUAUUGCCCGAUUUGAACAGAGAUGAAAUUAUAACUAAAUAAAUUUGUUGUAUUCUAUUAUUUUGGAAUUAAUUUCACGUGCUUGCGUAUUUUUAGUAAUGAUUUAUUUUGGAUCAUGAAUGAAAUGAUCUUUAAAACGAAUGCUUUUAAAAAAUGAACAUAACAUAUUGUACGUUUAAGCGCUUAAAAAAUUAGCAUCUUUAUGAAGAAUUGAUGGUUUGUUAGCUUACCUAAAAUCAACACAAGUUAACUCACACUUUGCUCAGCGUGACUUAACUCACGUUGAUGGUACCGAACGUGAGUUAACUCAUGUUGGGGUUAUUUUAGGAAUUUUGAGGUGGGAAUGUGCAAAAAUGUUUGGGAGAAGAACGGUUUUCGGGUAAAUACCCAUGUUUUAUGGUUUGGGAUCAGCAUGCACAUUUUAAAAACUAUCACUAUAAUUUUAUAUAAUUCUAAAAUUAAUUAAUCUUAAGUCUUUGAUAUUUGUUCUAAUGUGCACUUAUUUUAUACUUUAGAUGCUUUUUAUAUAACUAAAUAAUAUAAUCUGUGAUAUUUUAUACAUUUAUUUGAAAGAUUUUUAUCAUAUUUUAAUUAACUUAUGAUGUUUUUUAUUAUUUAUUAUCUUUUUGUUGUUACACUACAAGUCAUUAGUCAAGGUACAUGUGCUUAGAUGCCCAAAAAGCAUAGAGAUAGACGCCCAAAAUGUGCAUUAUUGUACCCUUUUCAUAAGAUAGCCAUUGUCAUCCUCAAGUAACCACUCCGAGAGAAAAGUUUAAGAGAGAGAUAAGGAAAAGUAAGUUUAUUCAAGACAUUCUAAAAAACUUGAAAAUUAAAAAUUGUAAAAGAUAAAAUAAAACAGAAUUUGAGCCUUAUUUAUAUCUUUGUGAACCUUUAAGAGAAGUUCAUGAUCCUCCAUCUAAUUUGGAGUCUAUUUCAUCCUUCUUUAUCAGAUCGCAUGUGUUGUGAUCGAAGUUGUUUGCUUCCAAAUUUGACUUGUGCACAACAAUCUUUGAAGGAGUGAUAUUUUUAAGCAUGCGCAGCAAACUUGGACUUAGCACAGCAACCAUAAUUUGACAAAAUUUCAAUUGUGUGGUUGUUAACAUUCUCGCAAGCACAGCAUCAACACGUGGAAGCAGCAAUGUAAAACAAAAAGCAAACCCUAGCAGAGCCCCAUUCACCAAGAAUCAACUAUUUUUUAAAAGAAAAUAUUUCUCAUAUUAUAAGGUAUUUGCUAUUAGCAAAAGGUUAAAUUUUUAAAUCUUGGAGUUUGGUUAACAUGUAAAUAAAAUUAGUUUUAAAUUUUAAUUUCUAAAAAAUAAUUAAUAUAAAAAAAAUGACAUAAUUGGAUGAUAAGUACAUAUUCUACCAAUUUUCUGAGGUUUCACCUUAGCAAAAAUGUCUCUUUUGCAAGUUUUACUUUACAACUAUUAUAUUUGAUCACCUUGUAUUUCUACAUGUUUAGUCAAGAUCUAAUUUUAUCUCUAUUUUUGUCUUCCUAUCUUAUUGUCAAUUUAUUAUAUUUUUCACAUCACUCUCUCUUAUCUCCAUUCAAGGUAUAUACACUCAUGUGGAUGUACACUAAACAUUUUCCUUUACUUUAAGUCAUAAACUUAAUUUGCAGCUUAUGCCUUAACAAUUUAUCAUGAUAAAUGCUUAUGUAUAAUCUAUUUUAAAAGACUGCUAUUUUUGGUACAUUUUACUAAAUUAUUACCUCAGUUCUUUACUUUAUAUCAGGGCUAUAUAUGCUUUUUAUAGUCGCUUUAAAUACUUCUGCUUAUAUUUUUACUCCCACUAAAAUUUCCUUAAAAAUUUGGUCUCUCUAAAAUUUCUGAUACCAAUUUUUUAAUUCAUGUUUUUUACAAGAGUUUACGUCGCAUGUUGCAAUGGAUCGACUUUUUUAUAUCAAGUAGUCUAGUGGUUAGAGCUCACACAUUUUAAAUGUAGAGAAGUGGGGUGUUCAGGGUUCGAACCUCACUCACUGGAUAUAUUAUACGAUAUCUCUAGCAACUGAGCUAAACUCACGGGAAUCAAUUGAUCAACUUUAUUACAGCUUUUGAUUGUCAAAACCAUAAAAUUAUUUACUUAAUAAUUUAAGUAAUUAAUGUUUAAUUUUUGUAGAUGAAGGUUAAAUAGUUUGAUUAUUAAACUAACUGCAAUUUAAUGUCUUAUAAAUUUCAUGUCAUAAAAAAAUUUCACUAGAAACAUGUCAGAUGGUAUUUUUUUUUUAAAAAAUAAAAAUGCACUAAAAAUGUUAACAAAAAGUUUAAAGAAAGUUUUAGUGGCUCACCCUUGACCUACUUUCGAGGGUCAUAUUAGAAAAACUAAACGGUGGAUCUUGGUGGGGUUGGGCUGCUAGCAUGUCUAGUCCUCAAUAAAUUUUUAACAUAUAGUCUAAUAUGUGAGUAUGUGACAUUAUUUACGGUCAAUAGUAAAAGGCAUAGAAAGUAUUCGAAUCCACAUAUAAGAUUAUUUAUAGUCGAUAUUAAACUAAUCAAUCAAUAAAUUGACUAGUAAAAUAUCAGUUAAAUAGUAAAAGAUCAUAGAAAGCAUUUGAACCCACAAUCUUUUGCUUCUGUGGACAUAACCUGCAUGUAUGAGUUUAUUCGUUAGACUAUUUAAAGCAAACACAAAUUCAACCAACCAAUCAAUAUAACACAGUCAUAAAAUUUAUUACUAUAAUUUGGAUUACAAAGCAUUUCCUCUCAAGUGAUAUGUCUGACACAUAUAUAUAUAUAUAUAACAUGAUACUCGAGGUUGAAAUGCAAAAGAAACAUCAUUUCAUAGCUACAAAGUAGCAAAUUACAUUACUACAGAAAACAAACAGCUCCGUAACUAAGACCAAUUAUUCAAUAUAGAUAUAUAGUUCAUAAGCCUCUAUCAUUGCAAGCCUUAUAAAUGAGUUUUAAUUUUCUUUUGGAGUGUGCUUACAAUGCAUGAGUACAUUUAAAUGGAUGUGAUGAACUAAGGCUUGUAAACAGUUGGUUUGUACACAGGUGGGACUGGCGGUGGCCUGCCACGUCUUGGUGGUAAAACCGGGGUCGGAGGGACUGGCGGCGGCCUUCCCUUUCUUGGUGGUAAAACAGGAGUAGAAUGUAUAUAUUCAUGAAUACCAAACCCUUGAGGAAUGAGAAUCAGAGAUGCAAGGAACAACACUAGAAAUGAUAGGGAAAAAGAAGCCAUUCUUAGUUACUGAUUUUCAGUCUUGGUGUACAAAACAUAGGGAGUACUACUCAUGUUUUAUACUGG